UACAGAGGUCUCAAGCGUUGUUCGGAUUCAUUGGGCGUAAAGGGUGCGUAGGCGGCCAACUAAGUCGGAUGUGAAAUCCCCAGCUUAACCUGGGAACUGCAUCCGAUACUGGAUGGCUUGAAUCCGGGAGAGGGAUGCAGAAUUCCAGGUGUAGCGGUGAAAUGCGUAGAUAUCUGGAGGAAUACCGGUGGCGAAGGCGGCAUCCUGGACCGGCAUUGACGCUGAUGAGCGAAAGCUAGGGGAGCAAGAGGG
rnacentral:rRNA from 1 species